UUAGUGGCGAACGGGUGAGUAACACGUGAGUAACCUGCCCUUGACUCUGGGAUAAGCGCUGGAAACGGCGUCUAAUACCGGAUACGAGCUUCAGCCGCAUGGCUNGGAGUUGGAAAGAAUUUCGGUCAAGGAUGGACUCGCGGCCUAUCAGCUAGUUGGUGAGGUAAUGGCUCACCAAGGCGACNACGGGUAGCCGGCCUGAGAGGGUGACCGGCCACACUGGGACUGAGACACGGCCCAGACUCCUACGGGAGGCAGCNNUGGGGAAUAUUGCACAAUGGGCGAAAGCCUGAUGCAGCAACGCCGCGUGAGGGACGACGGCCUUCGGGUUGUAAACCUCUUUUAGUAGGGAAGAAGCGAAAGUGACGGUACCUGCAGAAAAAGCACCGGCUAACUACGUGCCAGCAGCCGCGGUAAUACNUNNGGUGCAAGCGUUGUCCGGAAUUAUUGGGCGUAAAGAGCUCGUAGGCGGUUUGUCNCGUCUGCUGUGAAAUCUGGGGGCUCANCCCCCANCCUGCAGUGGGUACGGNCAGACUANAGUGCGGNAGGGGAGAUUGGAAUUCCUGGUGUANNGGUGGAAUGCGNAGAUAUNANGAGGAACACCGAUGGCGAANGCNGAUCUCUGGGCCGCUACUGACGCUGAGGAGCGAAAGCGUGGGGAGCGAACAGGAUUAGAUACCCUGGUAGUCCACGCCGUANACGUUGGGAACUAGAUGUGGGGGCCAUUCCACGGUCUCCGUGUCNCANCUAACGNAUUAAGUUCCCCGCCUGGGGAGUACGGNCGCNNNGCUAAAACUCAAAGGANUUGACNGGGGCCCGCACNAGCGGNGGANCNNGCNNNUUAAUUCNAUG
rnacentral:rRNA from 1 species